rnacentral:rRNA from 1 species
AACGAACGCUGGCGGCAUGCCUAACACAUGCAAGUCGAACGAGACCUUCGGGUCUAGUGGCGCACGGGUGCGUAACGCGUGGGAACCUGCCCUUAGGUUCGGAAUAACUCCCCGACAGGGGUGCUAAUACCGGAUAAUGUCUUCGGACCAAAGAUUUAUCGCCUUUGGAUGGGCCCGCGUUGGAUUAGCUAGUUGGUAGGGUAAAAGCCUACCAAGGCGACGAUCCAUAGCUGGUCUGAGAGGAUGAUCAGCCACACUGGGACUGAGACACGGCCCAAACUCCUACGGGAGGCAGCAGUGGGGAAUAUUGGACAAUGGGCGAAAGCCUGAUCCAGCAAUGCCGCGUGAGUGAUGAAGGCCUUAGGGUUGUAAAGCUCUUUUACCCGGGAUGAUAAUGACAGUACCGGGAGAAUAAGCUCCGGCUAACUCCGUG